CAGGCCUAACACAUGCAAGUCGAACGCCCCGACAGGAGCAGUGGCCUACGGUUUGACUAACACGUGGGAACGUACCCUCUACUACUCGAAUAACGCAGGGAAGGUUGUGCUAAUACCGUGAUGUGCCCUUCCGGGGAAAUAUUUAUCGAUAAAGGAUCGGACCUUCUUGGAUUACCCAAUUGGUGGGGUAAAGGUCUAACUAGCCGACUAUCCAUAGCUGGUCUCACAGGAUGAUCAACCACAUAGGGACUGAGACACGGUCCUCACUCCUACGGGAGGCGACACUGGGGAAUAUUGCACACUGGGCGCAAGCCUGAUCCAUACAGGCCGCGUGACUAAUGAAUGCCUUAGGGUGGUAAAGUCUUUUCACCGGGUAACAUAAUGAUGGUAUCCGGAGAAU
rnacentral:rRNA from 1 species